GUGGAGGCCAGCUUGAGUGAGCAGAGGCGGGCAGCUUGAGAAUGGCGCAGCUGGCGGAUUCCACGAAGGAGCUUGCGGCAACCAUGUGACAUCCCUGGGCUGGACUCCGCUUCGUCCACAGUGAAAGCUGAUCUGGCGAAACACAGUGCAAAGUUGAUGUAUUUCCUCAGCGACCAGCACAGAUCAGCUGCAGAGAAGGAAAUCCCAGAAUGCAUUGCAAUAAACCCAGUGAGGUGGAAAUAUCCAAGAUGGCAGACAAGGUAAGAGAAAUGUCUAAAUAAAUUAAAUCAAUCCUUCA
ensembl:lncRNA